rnacentral:rRNA from 1 species
CAAUAGCGUAUAUUAAAGUUGUUGCAGUUAAAAAGCUCGUAGUUGGAUUUCUGGCAGGAGCGACCGGUCACACACUCUGUGUGUGAACUUGCGUUGUCUCUGGCCAUCCUUGGGAAGAUCCUGUUUGGCAUUAAGUUGUCGGGCAGGGGAUACCCAUCGUUUACUGUGAAAAAAUUAGAGUGUUUAAAGCAGGCUUAUGCCGUUGAAUAUAUUAGCAUGGAAUAAUAAGAUAGGACUUCGGAACUAUUUUGUUGGUUUGCGUUACGAAGUAAUGAUUAAUAGGGACAGUUGGGGGUAUUCGUAUUUCGUUGUCAGAGGUGAAAUUCUUGGAUUUCCGAAAGACGAACUACUGCGAAAGCAUUUACCAAGGAUGUUCUCAUUAA